GCCGCGGUGGCGGAAUGGCAGACGCAGUAGACUCAAAAUCUACCGUUCGUGAGGGCGUGGGGGUUCAAGUCCCCCCCGCGGCACCA
rnacentral:tRNA from 1 species